UAUAAUUAGAAUCAACUCUGCACAUAUAAUUAAAUUCAUGCAUUCUGAAGGUGCAUAAUUGCAUACUGUCUGUUCUGCAAGACCCCUACCUAGUUCUUGGAGAAAUUUGUUUGAAUAUCAAGUUUUUGCAUCAUCCUACAAAGCCAUAGGAGCAAAAUAAGUUUAUCGAUGAGAAUCAAUAAGCAUUCACAACUUCAAAACUCACAAAUGAAUGAAGGAUAAUAAGUAGCCCCCACAAUUACAAUAAAAUAGUUCUUUCCAAGGUUCCUUUGGUUUGUAGACGAUCAUCUUGGCUAAGCUUAGUAGGUGGCCAAUGGGAAAGGCCAAAAACUUUGUGUUGCAACAAAUAAUUGGUGACUAAUUAAAGAAAAAAGUUCAAUGAGAUCUGAGAAAGCUCUUUAAAAAAGAAGAGACUGAAAACUCAGUGUGCUGUGAUAUAGGUGAACCAUGUCUCUUUUGACAUUAAGAUGUGAGACUUCAUAGACUGCAUCAGCAGUGAAGUGAUCAAGAUACAGAAGAAUAAGAAAUGGCUGUAUUUCUGGAAGCUAGAGCACAGCAGAUAGCUGGUCUGUGACAGAACCUAACAGAGGUGCGGGAAGAUAUACAAGAUGAAAAUCAGCUGCUGCAGCAGCAGUCCCAGAUGGACUGUUACAGUUUACAGAGCAAUCAGGACUAUAGGAACCAGUGACUGACACCCUGCCACUGACCUAAUCUUCUGUGGAGCUGAGAACAACUGGCAGCAGAAAAUAAGACUUGCAUCUGUGCUACAUAUUAUAGUUCUGGACCUCUUAACCCUCUACUGUCCUGUUUGGGUAUUGUGUAUCCUGUAAUGGAG